rnacentral:rRNA from 1 species
AGCGAACGCUGGCGGCAUGCUUAACACAUGCAAGUCGCACGGUUCGGGUUUCGGCCCGGGCAGUGGCGGACGGGUGAGUAACGCGUAGGGAUUUAUCCUUGGAUGGGGGACAACCGCGGGAAACCGCGGCUAAUACCGCAUGAUGCCUGAGGGCCAAAGCUCGCGAGAGCGUCUGGGGAGGAGCCUGCGUCCGAUUAGCUAGUUGGUGGGGUAACGGCUCACCAAGGCGUCGAUCGGUAGCUGGUCUGAGAGGAUGAUCAGCCACACUGGGACUGAG